UACAGAGGUCCCAAGCGUUGUUCGGAUUCACUGGGCGUAAAGGGUGCGUAGGCGGUCGGGUAAGUCUGGCGUGAAAUCUCCAAGCCUAACUUGGAAACUGCGUUGGAUACUAUCCGGCUCGAGGAAUGGAGGGGAGACUGGAAUACUUGGUGUAGCAGUGAAAUGCGUAGAUAUCAAGUGGAACACCAGUGGCGAAGGCGAGUCUCUGAACAUUUCCUGACGCUGAGGCACGAAAGCCAGGGGAGCAAACGGG
rnacentral:rRNA from 1 species